rnacentral:lncRNA from 1 species
CCCGGCACCGCGCCGCCUCACGGGAAGCGUAGUUUGCGAAGCGACCGUGGGCCCUCAGUUCCCACCCUGAUCCUCUCACGCUUCGGCGACGGGUAUCGGGGGACGGCGCGGUGUCGGAGGCUCCGAACGGCAGUCUGCCCUUAGGCGAGGAUACCCUCGUGGCCGAAUGGGGGCGACGCGGUUCCGAUGGCGCGGGAAGGUUCCGCAGCGACCCCCGGCCUCCGAGGCGGCGCUUCCGGUGCACCGUGCGAACCCGCCCUUCUCGCCUCCUGAGGCGCUGACGCGUGAACCAUGUGCUGCUCGGGGGCGCGGGUGGGUCGCAGCCGUGGGUUAUGACAACUUGCUCAACCGCACCGUAGUUUACCGAAGGUAGGAGUCAUGCUUACUUCAUAGGGUAACCGAGGCUUUAUGCGGUGAAGCCAGAGAGGUGUUUAGCUCGGAGCCUGGCUCGGCGCGCCACAGCGUUGCUAGGACUUGGUCUCUCCUGGGUAUGCCUUCCGCCGACGGAGCCCCUCGUCCGUCUGGUCCACUGAUGUUCCUGACGUCUGUAUGCAGGCUUUCCGCAGAUAUUUAUUGAGUGGAUAAGUUUUGCUAGAUCGGACUGUGAUGACAGCCAGUUCUGCAACACGAGCUACUUGAUAAAGCUGUCGGUAACUACUGAGAUUUUAGCAAAGGCUGUUUUGAGCCGAAUUUCCCCCCAGGCUGUGUUUCCAGCCCUUAAUCUCUUUGUGGUGGGACCUAGAAUUCGACCUUCUGCCUUGUCACCGGUAAAAGCUUGAAAAGGUGCCUGAGGCAUCCCCUGCACCCUGAAGCUCUUUCCCUCUGUAAAUUAGAAUGGACAUUCCAAAGUGUUGCACAAGUUAAUAGGGGUAGGGUGGGGGUCAAAUGAGUAGGGGAAAGCAUUAGCCUGAAGUUUCAAAACUCUAAAUAUUUUUAUAUGCACUUAUAAAUCCUCAGAAGAUCUGACAAAGGACUUAUUUUCCUUCUAGAACUAAUGAUUCAGAAUGAGAAAAGCACAGGCUGUAAAUCUGUAUGCCACAUUUGGCUGUUAACCACUUGAAAUGAGGCUAUUCCAUUUAAUAUGAGCUGUAAAUGCAAAAUACACACGGAUUUCGGAGAUUUUAGCACAAAUUAAUAAUGUGAAAUACUGCAAUCAGUUACUUUAUAUUGGUUACAUGUUGGAAUAAUGUUUUGGUUCUGUUGCAUUAAAGAAAAUGUUAUUAAAAUUAAUCUCACCUGGGGGGCUGGCAUCUCCAAAAAAGCUGAGGAUGUGAGAUUCAGAGAAAUCCAUAACCUAUUAAGGCUUCGGUCUUAAAAGUGGUCAAUGGAGUGCUGGGAUUGUAGCUCAGUGGAAGAGCCUAACGUGUGAGGCCCUAGGUUUGAUCCCCAGCACCACAUAAAACUAAAUAAACAAAAGUAUUGUGUCCAUCUACAACUAAAAAUAUAUAUUUUUUUCAAAAAAAGUGGUCAGUGAAGUCCUA